rnacentral:lncRNA from 10 species
GGCUCUAAGGUUAAGCAAGUAUCAUCUCCCAAGCAAAAAGAGAAUCCAGAAACAGGAUUUAUCUUUUAUGUAAAUUUUUUUUAAAAAAUAAAGCAGUAUUUCUUUUCUUUUUUUUUUUUUAAUUCUUCAGCUAAAACAGCGGAAGAGGUGAUUUAUUAUAUGGUUGUUACACUCGGCCACAAAUAAACACAGAAAUAGUCCAGAAUGUCACAGGUCCAGGGCAGAGGACCAACAUGGGCAGUAGCAUGCAGUCCCACAACUUGUACCAGCAUCCCCAGCGUCUGGCAUUCCAUGUUUCUGCUCCUGUGGCCUCCACGGUGCAACAAGCUAGCGGUUUACUUGGACCUCUGCCUCAUCUUUCUUCUUUUGCGCUUCAGCCUGCGCAUUCGCUUCUUCCUCCACUUGGCUCUCAUGGCACAGAGGUUUCCAAAAAAAUGGCGCUAAGGCCGAGAGCAUAAAGCAGUAUUUCAAAAGAGGUAAUUAGACUGAUGAUGAGGGGAUAACACAUGGAAGAGAAACAUUUCAAAAGCUUCUCCGCUUUUCCAAAAGAGGAAGGAGUUUGUUGAAAUUUUCUAAACUCAGAUUUGGUGAAAAAUUACUUUGAAAAGAUAUAUUUGAAACUUCUUUCCUCUGGGUCCCAAUGGGAAAAUAUCCCUACAGGUUUCCCUCCUUCCAAACAGCACUGCAGGGCAUUAUAUAACUAAACAGGAUUCCAGCUCCUAAAAUGAUGCCUCCAUCCUGAUAACUAGCUGGCUCUCUCGCCCUCCGGUGGUUACUGGGAGAGGAAGAGAAGAGAGAACACAAAAAAAGGGCAACCUCCUUAAAAGGAAAGCACUGUCCAGUGAUGAAAUUUCCACAGAGCAUAGAAACCUGGAGUGAAACUGAUCUUAAGUCUGAGACUAAAGGAUUUGAAUGUCCUACAGUGUAAAUGAUUUCUCAUUGAUAAAUCAGAGCCUCAUCAUUUCCUCUUAACCUAUACAUAAA